GCGAAACAAUUUGUUUACACGCGGAAGUGGGACUAAUAUUCAUCACUGCGUAAGUGAAUGUACUCUGUGAGUUUUUCAUACACUGUUAGAUCACCCGAAUUCGACUGAUACACAAACUAAGUGGUACUGAAGUCUUGCCAGAACAUUGUAUUAUCUCCAAAACAUGACGUGCAUCGCGACUUUUUAUGCUCAAACAAGAGUGUGAAGAGGAUAAACCAUAUGCAAUGAAACGGAAUUCUGAUCUCAAAUUAACUUGAGAUUUCCUCCAAGAAAAUUGAAAGUGAAUCGUUGCCAAAUUGCCGGCAGCAGACGGCAAUGGUUUCGAUGGUGAGCGACGACAGACGAGAGGGCUGAAUAAAUAUUUACCUAAUUCCCACGUAUCCGCCGUUUUCUGCACCGUCCCUCGCCCUCCACAGCCACAGGCCUGACGUUCCUGGCAGCCACCAGAAGUCAUUCAUCCUCCGUGGCUGGGUGUCAGGACCUCUCUCUCUUUGUUCUACAUGGAAGAAAAUAUCACAGGCGAAAAUUGACGGAUGAAGUUUAAGACCACUUUAGAAAUCUCGUUAAAAUGAUUAUCGCGUGAUGUGAAAGUUUGACGCCGGUGGCACACUCAGAUCCAAUAAUUGUCGUAAACAAGUAAGAGUCAAUCAAACAACGAGAAGAUUGUGAGAAAACCAAGCAGCAGAAUAAAUAUAUAUCAUUCAUAAUGAAUCUUUGUACCAUAGUUUUUAUCAGUUUACGGUAAAGAACGGAACCGGAACCAACCUAUGAGACAUUUGCACAGACAAUUGCUGAUCAACAAGAAAAUACAGUAUGGAGAAAGAGAGAGAGGGGGGAAUUUAAACGUAGAAUAUAUAUACAAUAUAUUUAUUAACCUCUAACAACAAUACCCAGAGAAAUAGUUGUACAGAUUAACAUUAUUUGCUGUGAACACUUUUUGAAUGUACACUUUGUUUUGUUAAGUAAUGGUUCGUGUUGGUGAACUUUUGGUGACUUUUAUAUAAUGCAAAUUAUUCCGUUAACUAGUCUUUAAUAAUACAAAAAAAAUUAUUUAAAACUAGCUUUAUUUAGUCUUUGACAAAUACGGGCCGUAAAAUCUUUGAAAAAUCCUCGAUAUAUUAUGAAUGUCUUGGGAAAAUAUUUAUUUUGAGUUAUAUUCUUCGAAAGAUGAAGAUACAUAAAAACUGUUUCAAACCUCCUUAUGUUUAUAAUACAUGUAAACUUGUACAUAAAACAAGUUUUGAAUAACAAGUAUCCAUACCUUUCUAAGUGUAGUAUAUUUCAUGUACAUUACAUUACAAUUUUCGAAUGGUAGAAAAACUGAGCACAUCAAUUGCAAAUGACGGUUUUCUAUAAAUUGCCUCCUUUUCACAAUAACUCCGCCACCGGACUAUGUACAUCCCUGUCUUUGUUACUCUUUGUGAUUUACAAUAUGUGUAUCUCCUCUUUUUCUUGGUCCCUGACCGGUGAAACCGAAGGGGACUAUGCGUUUUCUCUUCGUCUGUCUGUCCUUCUGUUUGUCUGUCUGUCAGUCAGUCAAUCCGACUUGGUUUUGCGCACGUUUUUCAUCAUUCUGUGAGGUUGGAAGGUGAAAUUUAAUACGUGGUUUACUAUGCUAUAAAAGUUUCGUCACAGUUGAGUGAUUUUUACGAGAUAGGCCUAUGGGACUUUGUGCUGAAGAUAGUUUUCCGGAUUUUUUUCUCAUUAUGCUAACUUGGGAAUCUGAAAUUUAACAUGGGGUUACCUAAUGAAGUUUCACUUUUGAUACGGUCCAGACUCCUAACAACUUUUACAAAAAUUGUUAGGCUUAGUUUCAUGGUUGAAUGAACUUCUUCAAGUUUGGUUUUUCGAACUUUUUUCGACCAUCUUCGCAAGCCAAGUGACCGAAAGAAAGUGAAUCGGACACUUGGCUUGCGCAGAUGUUUUUCAUCAUGCUUUCAUUGCAAUUUGGUAAGUGAUUUACUAAUAUAUGUUUGCAGAUCUGGGGCCAGUUUCACAAAACUAUCUUACGACUAAGAUCUGUCUUAAGACCAAAAUUUGUCAUAAGAUCCAUUAUAACUGUUUCACAAAACUGUCAUAUCUUAAGAUUGUUAGAAAUCUUAAGACGGGACGUGCAUGUUUCAGGGACAGAAACAAUCUAUUAGACACUAUAUGGAGGAUGUGGACAUCAUUGAUAAGCUUCGUCUACCGCGACAUGUAAUCUUUAUGAUGAACUCAAGAUUCGUUUUGAGUAUCCCACAGCUAACGUUUUCCUACUUAUGCUGUUUAGGCAUGUCCACUUCUUCAUUUUUCCCCGACCGGACAUAAUCACUGAUAAUCUGUUGUAUUUACAGCAUUUACUCUAGAAGUGACAUCUCCCCAAGUUUCCUUCAUAGCAUUGGAACUGUAGUUUUGUUUUAAAAACAAAUAUCUUUUCUUUUCUCCACCUCGUCAAACAAUAUUGAUAUUUCAGCAGCUGAAAAGUUUGGACAUCAUUUCAUAGACAUUUUAAAUCUUUUGACACCGAUUUUUCUGAUCGCAUGCACACGGACUUCGUAGUCGCUGUGUGGUCAUAAAUAAACGUAUUCAAAUACCAUUCAUUUAUUGUUUGUAGACACAAAAUCAGUGUUGGGUAAAUCUAUUUGUUCACGUUUUUAUCUUUUGUUCGUUUUCAUACAAUUUCAUUUCAUUCAGUUAUUGGAUUUUUCACAUAGGAAAGUUUUUGCGCCCAGUAUACAUGUAUAAUCGAGCACGCGUACGCAUUUUGUGAGAUUAAUGCUUAGGUAUUACCUGUGUCUUUGGUUUUUCUUACCCACCUACACCCUCGUUUACGGAAGAACUUUUUGUAUUCAGUAUAGUACAUGUAUUUUGUUUAAUAAAACAAGUGCAGCGUUGCUAACUCGUAAAAAAUAUACUAUUUGCAUUUCUGAUAUUGGAGAUGAGAUGCAUUAUAUUCUUAUUGGCACUGCUUUAAAUUAUAUUAGGCGACAUUGUGUAACAGAAAUAUUUCAUACUAGACCUAAUGUUAUAAAUUUCAUAAUCUAUUUGCAACAAAAAAAUGAAAAUGAAAAAUUAUUUUUAAAAUUGUGUAAAUACAUACAAUUAAUCACCGAGAGAGUACACCCUUCAGAUUAAAUGUAUAUAUUCUAUUAUUAUAAUUAUUUAUUAUCGAGACUGUGAUAUAUAUUUAUAUGAAUUACUUGUGCAUGCGUGAAUAUUGAUUUUGAAUGAUUGUUCAAUAUGUUCUCUCUGUUGUGUUAACAGCGAAUAAGAAAAAUAAAACUUGAAAC